rnacentral:rRNA from 1 species
CGGUUGAUCCUGCCGGACCUGACUGCUAUCGGAUUGAUACUAAGCCAUGCGAGUCAUUGUAGCAAUACAAGGCAUACGGCUCAGUAACGCGUAGUCAACCUAACCUAUGGACGGGAAUAACCUCGGGAAACUGAGAAUAAUGCCCGAUAGAACAUUAUACCUGGAAUGGUUUAUGUUCCAAAUGAUUUAUCGCCGUAGGAUGGGACUGCGGCCUAUCAGUUUGUUGGUGAGGUAAUGGCCCACCAAGACUAUUACAGGUACGGGCUCUGAGAGGAGUAGCCCGGAGAUGGGUACUGAGACACGGACCCAGGCCCUAUGGGGCGCAGCAGGCGAGAAAACUUUGCGAUGUGCGAAAGCACGACAAGGUUAAUCCGAGUGAUUUCUGCUAAAGAAAUCUUUUGUUAGUCCUAGAAACACUAACGAAUAAGGGGUGGGCAAGUUCUGGUGUCAGCCGCCGCGGUAAAACCAGCACCUCAAGUGGUCAGGAUGAUUAUUGGGCCUAAAGCAUCCGUAGCCGGCUCUGUAAGUUUUCGGUUAAAUCUGUACGCUCAACGUACAGGCUGCCGGGAAUACUGCAUAGCUAGGGAGUGGGAGAAGUAGACGGUACUCGGUAGGAAGUGGUAAAAUGCUUUGAUCUAUCGAUGACCACCUGUGGCGAAGGCGGUCUACUAGAACACGUCCGACGGUCAGGGACGAAGCCUAGGGGCACGAACCGGAUUAGAUACCCGGGUAGUCCUAGGUGUAAACGCUGUGGACUUGAUGUUGGGGGUGCUCCGAGCACUCUCAGUGUCGAAGCGAAGGUGAUAAGUCCACUGCCUGGGAAGUACGGUCGCAAGGCUGAAACUUAAAGGAAUUGGCGGGGGAGCACCGCAACCUGAGGAUUGUGCGGUUUAAUUGGAUUCAACGCCGGAAAACUCACCAUAGCCGACGGACAAAUGAAGGUCAGUGUAAUGAACUUACCGGAUUGUUCGAGAGGUAGUGCAUGGCCGCCGUCAGUUCGUACCGCAAGGCGUUCUGUUAAGUCAGAUAACGAACGAGACCCUCAUCUCUAUUUGCUAACUGGAUCUCCGGAUCCAGUGCACUAUAGGGAGACCGCUGGCGCUAAGUCAGAGGAAGGGGAGGGCAACGGUAGGUCAGUAUGCUCCGAAUGCUAUGGGCUACACGCGCAAUACAAAGGACAGGACAAUGGGCUGCUGCUCCGAAAGGAAUGAUAGCUAUCCCGAAACCUGUUCGUAGUUCGGAUUGAGGGCUGUAACUCGCCCUCAUGAAGCUGGAUUAGGUAGUAAUCGCGUCUCAAAAAGGCGCGGUGAAUAUGCCCCUGCUCCUUGCACUCACCGCCCGUCA